UGGGGAAUUUUGGACAAUGGGCGAAAGCCUGAUCCAGCAAUGCCGCGUGUGUGAAGAAGGCCUUCGGGUUGUAAAGCACUUUUGUCCGGAAAGAAAUCCUUGGCUCUAAUACAGUCGGGGGAUGACGGUACCGGAAGAAUAAGCACCGGCUAACUACGUGCCAGCAGCCGCGGUAAUACGUAGGGUGCAAGCGUUAAUCGGAAUUACUGGGCGUAAAAGCGUGCGCAGGCGGUUUGCUAAGACCGAUGUGAAAUCCCCGGGCUCAACCUGGGAACUGCAUUGGUGACUGGCAGGCUAGAGUAUGGCAGAGGGGGGUAGAAUUCCACGUGUAGCAGUGAAAUGCGUAGAGAUGUGGAGGAAUACCGAUGGCGAAGGCAGCCCCCUGGGCCAAUACUGACGCUCAUGCACGAAAGCGUGGGGAGCAAAACAGGAUUAGAUACCCUGGUAGUCCACGCCCUAAAACGAUGUCAACUAGUUGUUGGGGAUUCAUUUCCUUAGUAACGUAGCUAACGCGUG
rnacentral:rRNA from 1 species